rfam:Cajanus cajan Scaffold128624_3, whole genome shotgun sequence.
GACUCUCAGAAGCAAAUACCUCGGCUCUUGCAUUGAUGAAGAAUGUAGCGAAAUGCGAUACAUGGUGUGAAUUGCAGAAUCCCAUGAACCAUCAAGUUUUUGAACGCAAGUUGCGCCUAAAUCCAUUAGGCUGAGGACACACCUGCCUGGGUGUCA